GUACUGCCAGGCGCUAAAGCGGAUGAAAAGGAACUGCACGUUCCUGCGCCGCAGGUGCACCUCGGUGAUGAUGGGCUGCAGGAACACCAGACCUGGAAACCCAGCCGUCUCCACCUCUGCUGCCGCCACCCCGGCAAGGCUGCCGCACCUCUCGCCUGGAUUUUUGCAAUCUCCUGCUCCCUCGGCCACCUGCUUCCGUCCUCCUCCCAUAGCCCAUUCUCCUGGAGAUCCUGUCAGCUCACAUCCAUCCUCGGCUCCUGCCUCCUUUGGGCAAAAGCCGAAGUACUGGCUCCUUGCUGGCCCGGGAACAUGCCUCCUCAGGGUCUCUGCUCAAACGCUGCCUUAAUGAGGCCCAGCCUGACAACCCGAUUUAAAUCUGCAAACCCUGACA